AUUGAACGCUGGCGGCAGGCCUAACACAUGCAAGUCGAACGGUAACAGGAAGAAGCUUGCUUCUUUGCUGACGAGUGGCGGACGGUGAGUAAUGUCUGGGAAACUGCCUGAUGGAGGGGGAUAACUACUGGAAACGGUAGCUAAUACCGCAUAACGUCGCAAGACCAAAGAGGGGGACCUUCGGGCCUCUUGCCAUCGGAUGUGCCCAGAUGGGAUUAGCUAGUAGGUGGGGUAACGGCUCACCUAGGCGACGAUCCCUAGCUGGUCUGAGAGGAUGACCAGCCACACUGGAACUGAGACACGGUCCAGACUCCUACGGGAGGCAGCAGUGGGGAAUAUUGCACAAUGGGCGCAAGCCUGAUGCAGCCAUGCCGCGUGUAUGAAGAAGGCCUUCGGGUUGUAAAGUACUUUCAGCGGGGAGGAAGGGAGUAAAGUUAAUACCUUUGCUCAUUGACGUUACCCGCAGAAGACGCACCGGCUAACUCCGUG
rnacentral:rRNA from 1 species